rnacentral:rRNA from 1 species
CGGGUGAGUAAUGCCUAGGAAAUUGCCCUGAUGUGGGGGAUAACCAUUGGAAACGAUGGCUAAUACCGCAUGAUGCCUACGGGCCAAAGAGGGGGACCUUCGGGCCUCUCGCGUCAGGAUAUGCCUAGGUGGGAUUAGCUAGUUGGUGAGGUAAGGGCUCACCAAGGCGACGAUCCCUAGCUGGUCUGAGAGGAUGAUCAGCCACACUGGAACUGAGACACGGUCCAGACUCCUACGGGAGGCAGCAGUGGGGAAUAUUGCACAAUGGGCGCAAGCCUGAUGCAGCCAUGCCGCGUGUGUGAAGAAGGCCUUCGGGUUGUAAAGCACUUUCAGUCGUGAGGAAGGUAGUGUAAUUAAUAGCUGCAUUAUUUGACGUUAGCGACAGAAGAAGCACCGGCUAACUCCGUGCCAGCAGCCGCGGUAAUACGGAGGGUGCGAGCGAUAAUCGGAAUUACUGGGCGUAAAGCGCAUGCAGGGUGGUUUGUUAAGUCGGAUGUGAA